rnacentral:rRNA from 1 species
ACGAACGCUGGCGGCGUGCCUAAUACAUGCAAGUAGAACGCUGAAGGAGGAGCUUGCUUCUCCGGAUGAGUUGCGAACGGGUGAGUAACGCGUAGGUAACCUGCCUGGUAGCGGGGGAUAACUAUUGGAAACGAUAGCUAAUACCGCAUAAGAGUAGAUGUUGCAUGACAUUUGCUUAAAAGGUGCAAUUGCAUCACUACCAGAUGGAUCUGCGUUGUAUUAGCUAGUUGGUGGGGUAACGGCUCACCAAGGCGACGAUACAUAGCCGACCUGAGAGGGUGAUCGGCCACACUGGGACUGAGACACGGCCCAGACUCCUACGGGAGGCAGCAGUAGGGAAUCUUCUGGCAAUGGACGGAAGUCUGACCGAGCAACGCCGCG